rnacentral:lncRNA from 1 species
GCACGGCACCCACCUCGGGGCAGCGGCUUCACCUCCCCGUUCUCCUCCCGGGAGGCCCCGCCGGCCUCUCGGGCCCCACCGAGACCGUGCCUCCUCCUCUCCUUCUCCCGCUUCUCCUUAGGUCUGCGCGACUUGGCGUUAGCCGAGGCAGCGGCGGCGGCGGCGGGCAGGAGGAGAUGGUGAGGCUGAGCGUGCAGCAGCGUAGGAGGGACCAGCAGUUUGCGCGGCACCGGCUGAGACAAGGAAGCGGAGGCUGAGGAGGGAACGGCCGUGCCAGCGGAGAAAGAGAAACUGCUCCGAGAAGAGGACGGGGAGGGAGCAGCAGACAGAGGGGCAAAGCUCCAAGACGCGGGGCUGCCAUAGCUCUGAGGCGAAGGUGCUGCCGGCGGCUGCAGCUGCCUGCUGUUCCCGCCGCUGCCCCCUUCUCCGUUCACUCUCCGCGGUGCCUUCUUCUCCUCAGUCCGGACCUUCUUGGCGGACAGAGAACCCGGAGGGUCCCGGGAGGAGAGUUGCAGCUUGCCAAACGGUUCUUUCUCCGAGACGGUGGCGGUGGGGGCCGCGGCAGCGACACAGUGCACGGGGCUCGGCGGUUCCGCCAUUUUGCGCUCCUGUUGUAUUUACUCUCCUCCGCUAGCCGGCGCGGGGCAGGGGGCGGGCCCUCCGCGAGGGGUAGGGAAGGGGCGGAGCGGCCAGGCCACCAGCCGGCAUUGCUCCAUUGGGCAAGCCACGCUGAGGGAUCCACCUAAGAGCCAAUCAAAGGCACAAACAUCAGACGAAGGGGCGGGAUCGCCACAGGGACCCUCUUCGGAGGUCAGAGCUCGGCGGGGUGCGGCUAGUGGCGGAGCGCGCUGCGAGGGGAGGGCUUUCCACUGUCGCUGGCGUGAACUCGCGUGCCCGGUGGGUAUCAGGGAAGAACCCCCGCCCCGGACCCCCAGAUCUGCCAUGGCCGAGGUAGCGAUCGUCUCUGCGGCCACGAAGACUGUUUUAACUUGUACCACUUUCCCUUCCAUUUUUCCUGGGGUGCCUCUCACCCUGCAUCUGCGCGUUCAGCAAGCUGGAUUUCGGGAAUGCUCAGUUCAGAAGAGAAAAAAUUGCCGGGAAUCAAGUCCUUCUUUUUGUUAGUCGGUAGUCGAUUGAUGGGAAGUGUUCAAAAUCAUUCGAUGUGGUGACAAGGUACGUUAUUAUUGCUAGAUCAUGUGCUGUAAUCCAUUGAAGGAGAUAACUUCCAGCAAAUCUAGAACUUUAGUAUUACUUACAAGCUUGAAGGUGAGAGUCUCCCUUUGGAGACUUUUGAACUGUUGUGACUAGACCCUUAAGAUUUUUAUUUUAUUUAUUUAUUUAUUUAUUGGGACGGAGUUUUGCUCUGUUGUCGAGGCUGGAGUGCCGUGGCGCGAUCUCGGCUCACCGCAACCUCCGCCUCCCAGAUUCAAGCGAUUCUCCUGCCUCAGCCUCCCCAGUAACAGGGACUACAGGCGUCCGGCACCAUGCUUGGCUAAUUUUUGUGUUUAUUAGAGACGGGGUUUCACCAUGUUGGCCAGGCUGGACUCGAACUCCUGAUCUCAGGUGAGCGGCCCACCUCCGCUUCCCAAAGUGCUGGGAUUACAGGCGUGAGCCACCAUGUGCGGCCUUAAGAUUUGAAUUUUAUAAUAAUUAUUAUAGCCGGGCGCGGUGGCUCACACCUGUAAUCCCAGCACUUUGGGAGACCGGGGCGGGCGGAUCACGAGGUCAGAAGUUCGAGACCAGCCUGACCAACAUGGUGAAACCCCGUCUCUACUAAAAAUGCAAAAAUUAGCUGGGCAUGGAAGCGCGCACCUGUAAUCCCAGCUACUGGGGAGGCUGGGGCAGGAGAAUCGCUUGAACCCAGGAGGCGGAGGUUGCAGUGAGCCGAGACUGCGCCACUGCACUCCAGCUUGGGCGACAGGGCAAGACUCCGUCUCAAAAAAUAAUAAUAAUAAUAAUAAUAUUAUUAUUAUUAUAACGUAGACUUGCCAGGAAAAAUUCGUUGGCGAUUAUUUAUGGAUGUUUGAAAAGCAAGAAUUGUUUUUUUAGGUUUCUGUAUUUUAGCGUUUAGUAAGCACACUGCGUGUUCGAUGUUUUGUAAGCAUGUGCUUUGAUUUUUGCUUCGAAAAUAAGCAAUUUGGGGAGAUGGGUUUUAGCUUAAAAGAUAAGGAAUGUGGCCGGGCGCGGUGGCUCAUACCUGUAAUCCCAGCACUUUGGGAGGCCAAGGCGGGCAGAUCACAAUGUCAGGAGUUCGAGACCAGCCUGGCCAACAUAGUGAAACCCUGCCUCUACUAAAAAUACAUAAUUAGCUGGGCGUAGUGGCAUGCGCCUGUAGUCCCAGCUACUCUGGAGGCUGAGGCAGAAGAAUCCCUUGAAUCUGUAAGGCAGAGGUUGCAGUAAGCUGAGUUCGUGCCAUUGCACUCCACCCGGGGCGACAGUGCCUAUUUACUCAUUUUUUUAAGAAUAUUUUUAAGAAUUUUUUUUUUUUCGGCCAAGAGUGGUGGGUGGCUCACGCAUGUAAUCCCAAGACUUUAGGAGGCGGUGAUGGGUGGAUCACCUGAGGUCAGGAGUUUGAAACCAGCCUGACUGACAUGGUGCAACCCCGUCUCUACUAAAAAUACAAAAAAAAUUAGCCAGGCGUGGUGGUGCGUGCUUGUAGUCCCAGCUCCUCGGGAGGCUAAGACAAAAGACUCGCUUGACCCCUGGAGGUGGAGGUUGCAGUGAGCUGAGAUCGUGCCACUGCACUCCAGCCUGGGUGACAGAGUAAGACUCCAUCUCAAAAAAAAAAAAAAGAAUGUUUUGGAGUCAAAUUUAAUAUUGGUUUAUGGACUUAUUUUUAUGUGCCUCAAAUUUUUUAAAGUAAUAACAGUAUUUAAUAUGUAACAUGAAAACUUUCUAAUUGGAAUUGACUGGCAGCAGAUGUCUUCAAGAAAAUUAGCAUUGGUGGGAGAGUGGACUGAGUGGAUUAGGCUGGAAAUCAUCUGCUAACGCACUAGUUUCGUGACCUUAGUCAGGCUGCUUCACUUGUUAGGACCUCCGUUUUCUUACCUGUUGAGUUAGCAUAUUUGAUUACGUGAUCACUAAGGUCCCUUCCACACUCAACUUAUGCCAUAUUCAAGAAGCUUUUCAAAAUCACACCGAAACCAUUACAAUUGAAUUCAUUUUUUAAUUGUUGGCCCUCCUGAUCUAGAAAAGUGUCUCUAACAUACAUUAAUGUAGUGCCUGGAAACUUGCACCACUCAUUCUCUAAUCUCUAGCACACAGGUCUGGAAAAUCGGACUUCUUAAGAGCCCAGUUAAACUACACCCUUGCCUGCAUGAAUUUGUUACUCCUUGCAUUACAUUAUACUUUCAUGCACUGUUAUUAGGCCUGGCACUUAAUUUGUAGAGCCUAAGCAAGAGUGUGGCUAUAGAGGUCCACACACCAUCUGUCUAAAUAUUUAAAAAAUAAAUCAAGAUAACAAACUAUUAUAUAAAAUACAUUCUAUUCUACUACCUUGACAGAUCCACUUUCAUAUGAUCUGGAAGUCCAUGUUUGAAUUUAGAGUUCUUAGAGUCCCCACACUGACCCCAUUCUCCUCCCAUCCCCAAGUUCACCUGCCACACGGAAAGGCCAUACAUGCACCCAACAUGUCCAGGUGUAUGUCCACAUCCCCCUACUCCGCAAAUGGUGAUGUACAAUCGGCAGCUCACUCUGCCCUCAGAUCUAGCCAGUCUAAAAGAGGAGGGCAGGCUCCAGGCAGACAUGGCCCCUGACCUCAUGGGCUCCUUGUUCUUUACAGCAAGAGGAGGGCCAAGUAAACAGAGGCCCCUUACCCAGAUCUAAAGACAGGACUUGUCUGUUAUUAAAACAUGCGCAACUAUCUCUUUUCUGUGCUGUGUAAUUAGCCAUUCCCUUUCAACUAGAUUAUUCUUGUCAACACUUAACUGGCAGAGGUUUUCUACCACUAUCACCAAUUUCUUUUAGCAUAAUCUCUUUAUAAUCUCAUAUAGGUUUUCCAUUCUACAGCUAGAAAGCUCUUUUCAAAACCUUGGCCGGGUACAGUGGCUCAUGCCUGUAAUCCCAGCACUUUGGGAGGCCGAGGCAGGCAGAUCACCUGAGGUCAGGAGUUUGAGACCAGCCUAGCCAACAUGGUGAAACUUUGUCUCUACUAAAAAUACAAAAAUUAGCUGGGCAUGGUGGCACGUCCUUGUAGUCCAGCUACUCGGGAGGCUGUGGUAGAGAAUCGCUUGAAUCUGGGAGACGGAGGUUGCAGCGAGCCAAGAUCACGCCACUGCACUCCAGCCUGGGCGACAGAAUGAGACUCUGUCUCAAAAAAAAAAAAAAAACGAAAACGAAAAAACCUGGAUCUGACCAUCUCUCUUGCCUUGCUUCAGACCUGAAGUCAAUGGCUUUCAUUGCUCUCGGGACAAAAAACAAAAUCCUUAAUGUGUCCUGUAAGACCUUUCAUGAACUAUCCCCUUCUUCUAUUUCAAACUAACAGGUCUUUAAUCUCCAGAACCCACCAUGUUGUCUUUCAACAUAGAAACAUUGCAUAUGUGAUUCUCUCUACUUGACGUGCUUUUUCCUUUGGCUGUUGCCUAUGUGAUGAUUUGGAUAAUGAACAUAAGGGAGGCAGAUAUCAUGAAUACCUUCUAUAUUUCUAACCAGCAAAACUUGGCAGUGGUACCAUUCCCUGAGCCAAGAAACAGUGGAAGAGUGACAAGUUUCAGGUACUCUUGGACCUUGGACCUGUUGAACGCGACGUGCCUUUUCUCAUCUCCAUUCCUUUUUGCUUUUCAGUCGUUGGUGUUGUUGACUCACUGGUUAUCUCUUGCUUCCUUUUCCAUUUCAUUCUCUGUAACAGCUCUACCGAAAGCAUACUACCCUACCUACCCUACACCCUGCUUCUCCACCUUUUUUUUUUCUUUUUUCUUUUUUUUUUUUUUUUUUUUGAGGUCAGGUCUCAGCUCUAUCACCCAGGCUACAGUGCAGUGGCAGCUUCACAGCUCGCUGCAGCCUUGACCUCCUGGGCUCAAGCAUUCCCCCCACCUCAGCCUCCCGAGUAGCUGGGACUAAGGCAUUUGCCACCAUACCUAGCUAAUUUUUGUAUUUUUGUAGAGACAGGGUUUCGCCAUGUUGUUGCCCAGGCUGGUCGAGAACUCCUGGGCUCAAACACUCUGACCACCACGGUCUCCCAAAGUGCUGGGAUUACAGACAUGAGCCAGCAUAGCCAGCCGAAACUGGGUCUUUUAUAAAGAACAGAAAUUUAUUUUGUCACAAUUCUAGGGGCUGGGAGCCCAAGAUCACGGCACUGGCAGGUUCAUUUGUUUGAUAUGGGCCACAUCCUCCUGAGGGGAGGAACAUAUUGGCCUCACAUGGUAGAAGGCAGCAGGCUGAAGGCUUCAUGAGGCCUCUAUUAUCUUAUUUAUUUUGAGACAGAAUUUUUUUUUUUUUUUUUUUUUGGAGACGGAAUCUGUCUCUGACGCCCAGGCUGGAGUGCAGUGGUGCGAUCUCAGCUCACUGCAAGCUCCGCCUCCCGGGUUCACGCCAUUCUCCUGCCUCAGCCUCCCGAGUAGCUGGGACUACAGGCGCCCGCCACUACGCCCGGCUAAUUUUUGUAUUUUUAGUAGAGACAGGGUUUCACCGUGUUAGCCAGGAUGGUCUCGAUCUCCUGACCUCGUGAUCCGCCCACCUCGGCCUCCCAAAGUGCUGGGAUUACAGGCGUGAGCCACCACGCCCGGCCUGACAGAAUCUUGUUUUGUCGCCCAGGCUGGAGUGCAGUGGCGCAACUGCAGCCUCGACCUCCUGGACUAAAGUGAUCCUACCACCUCAGCCUCCCAGGUAGCUAGGACUUCAGACACUCGCCAUAACUCCCAGCUAAUUUUUGCUUAUGUUUUGUAGAGAUGGGGCCUCACUGUGUUACCCAGGCUGGUCACAAACUCCUGGGCUCAAGCGAUCCACUUGCCCAUGAAGCCUCUUGUAAUCCCAUAAACCUCAUUCACAAGAGAGCAACCCCUCUGGCCUAAACACGUCUUAAAGGCCCCACAUCUUAAUACCAUUACAUUGGCCAUUAAGUUUCAACACCUGAAUUUUGGAGGGGACACAUUGAAACCAUAGCAAUGGGUAAAAAAUAAUAAGUCAGAGUCAGGUUGAAUGUGAGAUCACAGGAAGUGGAGGGUACUAUAGAAAACUGGGAAUAUGAUGUGUUUUCUACAAUAUACAUUUGUGUUUCUCAGCUCUCGCUGCUCGUUCCCUUAUGGAAAUAGUGGUCCUACUUGCUAAAUAUAUAGAUUUUUUAAUGGGAAGUUUCCUAAAACACCAUGCAAGCCAAACAAACAUCUGUGAGUCAGUUAUAACCCACAGACUAGCAGGCUGACUUCUGAUCUAGAAAGGAGUAGCUUCGUUUUGUUAAGAUCGUUUUGAGAGUUUUGUUUAUUUUAAUUCACAACCCUGUCUUUGUCCGUUGCUGGAAUAGAUGCUAAUCGAAUAUAUUCAAACUUCCAGCCAUAACAAAUGUGUGUUCGCAGUGCUUAGAGCUGUCCUCUGUACAACCUAGAAUCUGGUUUCUCUGCACGUGACAUCCUUCUGCCUUUCUGAGCUGAACUGUAUUUUCACUCUGCACAUGUACUAUCCCUCUGGCCUUGUCCAGGUUCCUGAUCCCCUUGUAUAAAGAAAGCAGUUAUUUGACCCUUGUACUUUAUGCAGCCAUGUACUAACCUUAAAGACAUUUCUGGCCAGGUGCAGUGGCUCACGCCUGUAAUCCCAGCACUUUGGAAGGCCGAGGCAGGUAGAUCAUAAGGUCAGGAGUUUGAGACCAGCCUGGCCAACAAGGUGAAACCUCAUCUCUCCUAAAAAUAUGAAAAAAUUAGCCAGGCGUGGUGGCACAUGCCUGUAGUCCCAACUACUCCAGAGGCUGAGGCAGGAGAAUCGCUUGAACUUGGGAGGCGGAGGUUACAGCCAGGCAAGACUGUGCCAUUGCACUCUAGCCUGGGUGACAGGGUGAGAUUCCGUCUCAAAACAAACAAACAAAAAAGGACAUUUCUUCUGUCCUUAUGGCAUAGAUAUCUCAAAGCUCUACCUCCACCACGUUGACCUGCUCAUCUUUUUUUUUUUUUGAGACAGAAUUUCACUCUUGUUGCCCAGGCUGGAGUGCGAUGGCACGAUCUCGGCUCACUGCAACCUCUGCCUCCCGGGUUCAACUGAUUCUCCUGCGUCAGCCUCCCGAGUAGCUGGGAUUACAGGCAUGCGCCACCACACUCGGCUAAUUUUUUGUAUUUUUAGUAGAGACGGGGCUUCUCCAUGUUGGUCAGUCAGGCUGGUCUCGAACUCCCGACCUCAGGUGAUCUGCCCGCCUUGGCCUCCCAAAGUACUGGGAUUACAGGCAUGAGCCACCACGCCCAGCCGACCUGCUCAUCUUUAUGUGUCUUUCUCAUUUGAAUCAAUCAAUCACUGGCCAGUUAUAAAGGCUGGUACUCUGCUUUCAGAAAACCUGAAACCUUUAAACUUUCAUGCUGUCAGUUCCAGUGUAGUCCAUACUCUAGUACAGGGGCCAGCAAACUUUUUCUGUAAACAGACGUAUAGUAAAUAUUUUAGGCUUUGCAGACCUAAAAUAUUUGUAAAUAUUUUAGGCUUUGUGGUCUCUGUGGCAGCUGCUGCUCAUAGCACAAAAGCAGCCAUAGACAAGAUAUAAAGGAAUGGGCAUGGCUGUGUUCCAAAACAACUUUAUGGAAACAGGAGACAGGAUGGGUUUGGCCUGUAGGUCAUAGUUUGCUGGCUCCUAUGAAUUUUGUGUUUUUUGUUUUUUGUUUUGUUUUGUUUUGUUUUUUGAGAUGGAGUCUCACUCUGUCGCCCAGGCUGGAGUGCAGUGGUGCAGUCUCAGCUCACUGCAACCUCCGCCUCCCGGGUUCAAGCAAUUCUCCUGCCUCAGCCUCCCAAGUAGCUGGGAUUACAGGCACCCGCCACCAUGCCCGGCUAAUUUUUGUAUUCAAUAAAUUGUUUUUCAGGCUAGGUGCAGUGGCUCACUCCUGUAAUCCCAGCACUUUGGGAGGCUGAGGUGGGCAGACUGCCUGAGGUCAGGAGUUCGAGACCAGCCUGGCUAACAUAGUGAAACCCCAUCUCUACUAAAAAUACAAAAAAUUAGCCAGGUGUGGUGGUGUGCACCUGUAAACCCUGCUACUUGGGAGGCUGAGGCGGGGGAAUCACAUGAACCUGGGAGGUGGAGAUUGCAUUGAGCCAUUGCACUCCAGCCUGGGCGACAGUGUGAGACUCCACCUCAAAAAUAAAUAAAUAAAUAAUUUUUUUUUUUGUUAAUGGCUCCCCAAUUUAUAUCUCUAAACCUGACUGCUCCUCUGUGUUUGUGAUCUAACUACUCCACAUCUUCCACAGAUAUGUCAGCACUUAAAACUCAGCAUAUCUAUGACAGAGACUGCUCAUUUCCUGCCAAGUAUCUGUUUCUCCCUUCUUCCUUAUUACCUGAUCCCUUAAUUCAUUGAGAUUGCAAAGUAUCUAGCUAAGAAAAAAAAAAGUUGCUUGCCCUUCUUUCUCUUAGGGAUAGCAGUGACAUGUCAGGGAAAGUCUUUGGGUGAGGUUUUCAGGGAAGUUCCUGGGUGAAGAGGAGAGGAAACCCCUUUCUCUCUUUCCUGAAAUUUGGAGAAGGCGAUGUGGGGCAGUAAUUAUGAAGAUUGUAAGCUUUCAGCUCAUAUUUUGCUUAUUCAACAUUUCAGGUAAUUCAGGUAAAUUGAAUUCUCAACUCUUUAUUUUUCUGAGACCAAGUCUCACUCUGUUGCCCAGGCUAGAAUGCAGUGGCGUGAUUUCAGCUCACUGCAGCCUCUGCCUUCUGGGUUCAAGCAAUUCUCCCACCUCAGCCUCCCAAGUAGCUGGGAUUACAGGCAUGCACCACCACGCCCAGCUAAUUUUUGUAUUUUUAGUACAGACGGGGUUUCACCAUGUUGGCCAGUCUGGUCUCAAACUCCUGGCCUCAAGUGAGGCCUCCACCCACUUCAGCCUCCCAGAGUACUGGAAUUACAGGCGUCAGCCACCAUGCCCAGCCAAAUUCUCACCUCUUAACCAGAAAAUUGUCUCACUACAAAUAUAGCCUAACCACUUGCUCAACCACAGUCUUCUUUCCAGUUUGAAUGUGUACUUAAGGAGAGCAAACUGGGGGAAAAUAAAGUUGAAAAUUGUAGUACAGGCAUCAGCCACUGCUUAAAGGCUUCACUGAAGAGCCAUUAGCAGCCACACAGCAGGAAGCAAAAGGUAGAGAGAGUAAAAGGGGCCAAAUAGAGUAAAUAGAAACUAUCCAUAAAUGUCUCUCCUGGGGUUAAUUAUGCUGCCAGAAUUUUCAUAUGGAAGAACAUCAGCUCAUUUUGAUACUUAUUUUAAGAAAGGGAUAGGAGGCCUAUAAAAUGUGUAUCAGGAGCCUUAUUCAAUAAUAUAAAUCUCUGAAAAGAAAAGCUUAAGUUUUGUGGUUGUUUAAAAAAAAAAAAAAGGUUUGUGGUUCCAGUCAAUUCUCCAGGAAGAGGAAGCUAUUUUAGGUAAGAACUGGUAGGUAGAGAGUAAAGUGUAUUUAUCCACACCUUGAAGCCUAGGUCUGGCAAAGAAAUGUAAGGAAAAAUGAUAGACUCAUAGAAUGUCUGAAUUGCAAAUGCAGCCCUGUACGUAAUUUGUUAAUUUUCUUUACUAUCCUUUACUUUCUUUUUGAACAGUGAAUAACCUCCAGAAUAACCAUUCUUGGCUUCAUAGUUUGAGCCACACUGUCAGACCACUUGUGGUUAAGAGGAUAGUGUUUACUGAGUGCCUUGUGUAUCUCUUAUGUUUGUGGGUGUUAUGCAUCAUCCCAGUUCUACAAAGCUUUCCAAGGCAUUUUUCAAAACUGAGCUGGAAUUUCAUGUUUAUUCUGACUCUACACCAGUUUUCUUUCUAAUAUAUCCUAUUUUGCAAGAGGAAGCAGAAGUCUAAAGCAUCAAAAUGUUAAAUCCAGACAUUGGUCAGGGCUCUUUAGAAGUUUAAGUUAAUUUAAGUUUUAUGUUUAGAAAAUAGGCAUUCAAAAAAGAUGCAGUGUUUCUUAGAGUGCUGGUAGAUUCCAGUGCUUUUAUCUCAUAGAAAAGAACAGGUUUGAAUGUGUCCCCGAAAGUUGUGUGUCCCCCAGAGUUCAUGGGUUAGAAACUUAAUCUCUAAUGCAACAGUGUUCAGAGGUGGGACCUUUAAGAGGUGAUUAGGUUAUGAGGGCUCCGCCCUCAUGAAAGGAUUAAUGCCAUUAUCCAGGAGUAGAUUAGUUUUUACAGGAUCGGGUUCCUGAUAACUGAUAACCCACAGUUAGAAGAGUGCAGUUUUGUACAAAUACUGCACAUGCCAGUAGAGCCAACAAAGUACAAAACUAUGACUGUCACAAAGUUAUUUCAUAAUUUUAAUUUUGCAGAUUCUGCUUUGAAAAGCUUGUCUGUAUGAUUUAUGUGCCUUGAGGUAACAAUAUGAUGCUAUCCUAAUACAUAUUUUGCCUCAGAUUCAAGUGCUGGCUCUUCUUGAUUCCCCUCAAAUUAAUAACUACUUCUAUACCAUUAGUUUGAAAAUAGAUGAAUAAUUAAAACAGCUAAAGACCCAUCAAGGAAAUAACCUCUCUCUCUUUUUUUU